UUGAUUCUCGUAGAAGUCAGUUGUUCUGGGGUCAUUUGACUCCAGGUUUUGGCCAUCGGGCCUAGGUCUUUCCACGAGAUGUCGGGGGGUCUGGUGAGAGAUAUGUGUGGGAUAGAUGUUUCCCAAUGGUGAUAGAGAUGUGUCACACUCUCUGGGAGGUGGACUAAGAUGAGCAUGGUACCUGUGAGGUCCCAAAACAAGUCAGUCAGGGUAAUUUGGAUUUCUUUGAGUUGGAAUACUUCUGCCUCAUAGUUCAUAUCAGGGCCUGGUUCAUCCCUAACCCACAAAGUACAGUGGAGUAGGGCCACUGAUUGUUCAUCAUGUGGAGGUGCAAGUGCAGGUAGUUGCAGAUCUGCUAGAACUUCUGGGUUGAUAUCCAGGCUAUACCAGUGGUACACAAUUCCCCCCUUGGGAAGUGGCAGAAGAGUGGCUGGAUUCAGGGUAAGGCAUCUCUGGAGUUUCACAUUGUCAGGUAAAAGCAAGGAGGUUUGCAGGCGGAGGUGGCGUUGGGAGGAGAGGUGCUUGGGUUGAACUUGUUGCAGGAAAGCAUUAAUGUCAUGAGGGGCCAACACUGUGAGGUGAUGGCCAAGAACAAAGUCAUUAGUCUUGUCCAAGAGGGCACUGGCGGCAAACACAGCACGGAGGCAAGAGGGGCUGCCCCUUGCAACAGGGUCAAGCAUGCAGGAAAAAUAGCCAAUAGGCCGUUGUCUGGACCCAUGUUUCUGAGUAAGGACUCCGGAAGCAUGUCCUGAUUUUUCAGAGACAAACAGAU